GUCUACACUGAUCCUUGCGAGAUUGGGCCGCCUGUGGUGCCAACCAUUGGAAUGUAAACCUGCGCAGAACGUAUGCGCAGAACUUUUUAAAAAAUGAACUUUGGAACUUCAUGUUGACACCGGUUGACACGCAUGCGUAUUGCACCCAUUUUAUUAUUGAUCGGUCAAUAAAUGUUUCAUUGCGGACCGGUUUGACAUGACGUUUUGUGGACCGGCACGUGACACGGUUUUGACCAAUCAGCAAACAGAAAAAUUGAACUUUGACACUAACUAUUUAACAAUUUUCACCUUCAUCUUUGAUGUUUUGUCGACAACUGGUUGAUCUUUAUCUCCGUUGUUUUGUUGUGAUGAAAUAUUGAACAUAUAAUACCAAAUUUCCAAAGCACAAUGAAUCCGGAAAUGAUCGAUGUUUAUUUAUUUAUAG